UACAGAGGAUGCAAGCGUUAUCCGGAAUGAUUGGGCGUAAAGCGUCUGUAGGUGGCUUUUUAAGUCCGCCGUCAAAUCCCAGGGCUCAACUCUGGACAGGCGGUGGAAACUACCAAGCUGGAGUACGGUAGGGGCAGAGGGAAUUUCCGGUGGAGCGGUGAAAUGCGUAGAGAUCGGGAGGAACACCAGUGGCGAAGGCGGCUUCCUGGACCAGUACUGACGCUGAGGCGCGAAAGCUAGGGGAGCAAACAGG
rnacentral:rRNA from 1 species